UUGAACGCUGGCGGCAUGCCUUACCCAUGCCAGUCGAACGGCAGCGCGGACUUCGGUCUGGCGGCGAGUGGCGAACGGGUGAGUAAUACAUCGGAACGUACCCUGUUGUGGGGGAUAACUAGUCGAAAGAUUAGCUAAUACCGCAUACGACCUGAGGGUGAAAGUGGGGGACCGCAAGGCCUCACGCAGCAGGAGCGGCCGAUGUCUGAUUAGCUAGUUGGUGGGGUAAAGGCCCACCAAGGCGACGAUCAGUAGCUAGUCUGAGAGGACGAUCAGCCACACUGGGACUGAGACACGGCCCAGACUCCUACGGGAGGCAGCAGUGGGGAAUUUUGGACAAUGGGGGCAACCCUGAUCCAGCAAUGCCGCGUGUGUGAAGAAGGCCUUCGGGUUGUAAAGCACUUUUGUCCGGAAAGAAAUCGCGCUGGUUAAUACCUGGCGUGGAUGACGGUACCGGAAGAAUAAGCACCGGCUAACUACGUG
rnacentral:rRNA from 1 species